UAGGGAAUUUUCGUCAAUGGGGGGAAGCCCUGAACGAGCAAUGCCGCGUGUGUGAAGAAGGUCUUCGGAUCGUAAAGCACUGUUGUAAGUGAAGAAUGCCAUAUAGAGGAAAUGCUAUGUGGGUGACGGUAGCUUACCAGAAAGCCACGGCUAACUACGUGCCAGCAGCCGCGGUAAUACGUAGGUGGCAAGCGUUAUCCGGAAUCAUUGGGCGUAAAGGGUGCGUAGGUGGCACGAUAAGUCUGAAGUAAAAGGCAACAGCUCAACUGUUGUAUGCCUUGGAAACUGUCGAGCUAGAGUGCAGAAGAGGGCGAUGGAAUUCCAUGUGUAGCGGUAAAAUGCGUAGAUAUAUGGAGGAACACCAGUGGCGAAGGCGGUCGCCUGGUCUGUAACUGACACUGAUGCACGAAAGCGUGGGGAGCAAAUAGGAUUAGAUACC
rnacentral:rRNA from 1 species